AUGGUGGGAGCUGUGUGCUCGUUCCCCUGUCCCAGCGUCCCGGGCUGCCGUGAUGGCCAUCCCUGCCGUGAGGAGGAGCGGCAGAGAUCCCCCGCACCCCCGGGAGCCCGCGGGCAGACACCGACCCUGCUCCGGGCUGGCGGCUAUCGCUGGGGGAGGCUAUCUCGUCCAGGACUACGUUUCCCAGCGGCUCCUCCCGGGGCUGCACAUGCUCGAUGCGGCUCCCGGCUCCUCCCGGCAGCUCCCGGCGCGGCGCCCGGUGCGGCGCAGGGGCGGUCGGUGCGGUUCCCGGUUCUCGUUCCCGGUGCGGCUCCCGGUGCGGCUCCCGGUACCAUCGGCGGCGCGGCGCUGCCCGGGGCGGUUCCCGAUUCCCGGGGCGGUUCCCGGUUCCAGGGGCGGUUCCCGGUGCCACCCCCGGCGGGGCAUCCUCCCGGUGCGCCCUCGGGAGAGCACGGCCGAGCCCCGCCGCCGCCCCGGGCCCGAGCGCCCCCGGGCCCCGCGGGCCGGCAGCAUGCCCCGCGGGCGAGCCUGGACGCAGGCGGAGGUCAGCAGCCUCCUGUCGCUGGUGGGGGGCUCGGGGGAGGCCGCACUGCUCAUGGCCUCCACGUCGCGACCCAACGAGGCGCUCUGGCGGGAGAUCUCCCGGGGUCUGGCGGCGGCCGGCUACGGGCGCAGCGUGGCCCAGUGCCGCUCCAAGUGGAAGGCGCUCAAGCAGGCUUUCCACUCGGAGCGGGAGACGCGCCGGAGGGCAGGACACCACUCGCCCCGGCUGCCGCCGCACUAUCGAGCCAUGAAGAGCAUCUGGAAGGCGGCCGGACGGCCCGUCUUCGGCGAACGGAGGAUGCCAGACGUGGUGAAGCUGCCCUCCAGAAAGCGCAGGUCAGCCCUUGCCACACGCUCUCCAUCCUCAUCAGAGACACCAGAGCAGGACGUUGGCGGGGACACCCCCUGCACACUGCUGUCUCCGAUGCUGCAGCGUGCGAAGGACGAGCCAGACACUCUUUCAAGUGGAUGUGGGAUUCUCCUUCUCUUCCAGUCCUAGUCUGUUGUGUAGCGUUGCUGCGCGCUGCUCCGCCGCUGCUGCCUUCCAGCCCAGAGGUGGCUGCAUUGCAGUGGUGGCAGCUGGUGGGGACCACAUUACAGGAGUGCAACCCACACCCCCUGCCAUGCCACACGCCGAUUGCUGCUUCCCUCCCCUCUCCCUCCUGGGCUGUCACACUGACCCGAAACAGGAAGGAUUUGAGGGGAAGGCCGGUUCUGUGA
ensembl:lncRNA uncharacterized LOC107215779